rnacentral:rRNA from 1 species
CGGGCUUGAACUGCACAGGAAUGAUCCAGAGAUGGUGAAGCCCCUCGGGGCCUGUGUGGAGGUGCUGCAUGGUUGUCGUCAGCUCGUGCCGUGAGGUGUCGGCUUAAGUGCCAUAACGAGCGCAACCCUUGUCCUCAGUUGCCAUCAGGUAGUGCUGGGCACUCUGUGGAUACUGCCACCGUAAGGUGCGAGGAAGGUGGGGAUGACGUCAAAUCAGCACGGCCCUUACGUCCGGGGCUACACACGUGUUACAAUGGCGCGUACAGAGGGCUGGCGGCGGGCGACCGCCGUCGAAUCCCUAAAGCGCGUCCCAGUUCGGAUUGGAGUCUGCAACCCGACUCCAUGAAGCUGGAUUCGCUAGUAAUCGCGCAUCAGCCAUGGCGCGGUGAAUACGUUCCCGGGCC